rnacentral:rRNA from 1 species
AAAUUGAAGAGUUUGAUCAUGGCUCAGAUUGAACGCUGGCGGCAGGCCUAACACAUGCAAGUCGAACGGUAACAGGAAACAGCUUGCUGUUUCGCUGACGAGUGGCGGACGGGUGAGUAAUGUCUGGGAAACUGCCCGAUGGAGGGGGAUAACUACUGGAAACGGUAGCUAAUACCGCAUAACGUCGCAAGACCAAAGAGGGGGACCUUCGGGCCUCUUGCUAUCGGAUGUGCCCAGAUGGGAUUAGCUAGUAGGUGGGGUAACGGCUCACCUAGGCGACGAUCCCUAGCUGGUCUGAGAGGAUGACCAGCCACACUGGAACUGAGACACGGUCCAGACUCCUACGGGAGGCAGCAGUGGGGAAUAUUGCACAAUGGGCGCAAGCCUGAUGCAGCCAUGCCGCGUGUAUGAAGAAGGCCUUCGGGUUGUAAAGUACUUUCAGCGGGGAGGAAGGGAGUAAAGUUAAUACCUUUACUCAUUGACGUUACCCGCAGAAGAAGCACCGGCUAACUCCGUGCCAGCAGCCGCGGUAAUACGGAGGGUGCAAGCGUUAAUCGGAAUUACUGGGCGUAAAGCGCACGCAGGCGGUUUGUUAAGUCAGAUGUGAAAUCCCCGGGCUCAACCUGGGAACUGCAUCUGAUACUGGCAAGCUUGAGUCUCGUAGAGGGGGGUAGAAUUCCAGGUGUAGCGGUGAAAUGCGUAGA